UACGUAGGCAGCAAGCGUUGUUCGGAGUUACUGGGCGUAAAGAGUGCGUAGGCGGUGCUCUAAGUUUGGUGUGAAAUCUCCCGGCUUAACUGGGAGGGUGCGCCGAAAACUGGAGUGCUUGAGUAUGGGAGAGGCAAGCGGAAUUCCUGGUGUAGCGGUGAAAUGCGUAGAUAUCAGGAGGAACACCUGUGGCGAAGGCGGUGCUCUGGGCCGGAACUGACGCUGAGGAGCGAAAGCGUGGGGAGCAAACAGG
rnacentral:rRNA from 1 species